GGGCUUGUGGUUUAGUGGUAUAAUACUCCCUUAGCAUGAAACUUGGGAGUGGUCCGGGGUUCAAUUCCCCGCAAGUCCA
rnacentral:tRNA from 1 species